rnacentral:rRNA from 1 species
GACGAACGCUGGCGGCGUGCUUAACACAUGCAAGUCGAACGGACAGGCCCUGCUUUUGUGGGUUGCUCGAUUGGCGAACGGGUGAGUAACACGUGAGUAACCUGCCCUUGACUUUGUGAUAACUUCAGGAAACUGGGGCUAUUACCGGAUAGGAUCUCCUGCUGCAUGGUGUGGGUUGGAAAGUUUCGGCGGUUGGGGAUGGACUCGCGGCUUAUCAGCUUGUUUGUGUGGUAGUGGCUUACCAAGGCUUUGACGGGUAGCCGGCCUGAGAGGGUGACCGGCCACAUUGGGACUGAGAUACGGCCCAGACUCAUAAGGGAGGCAGCAGUGGGGAAUAUUGCACAAUGGGCGGAAGCCUGAGGCAGCAACGCCGCGUGCGGGAUGACGGCCUUCGGGUUGUAAACCGAUUUCGCCUGUGACGAAGCGUGAGUGACGGUAAUGGGUAAAGAAGCAACGGCUAACUACGUG